rnacentral:rRNA from 1 species
UCAUCGGCCUCAGAUUGGUAGGACUACCCGCUGAACUUAAGCAUAUCAAUAAGCGGAGGAAAAGAAACUAACAAGGAUUCCCCUAGUAACGGCGAGUGAAGAGGGAAGAGCCCAAGAUUGAAAGCUGGCGUCUUCGGCGUCCGCAUUGUAAUCUCAAGAAGUGUUUUCCGCUUCGGACCAUGCCUAAGUCCCUUGGAAAAGGGCAUCAUAGAGGGUGAUAAUCCCGUUCAUGGCAUGGAGCGCCCGAAGCUUUGUGAUACGCUUUCUAAGAGUCGAGUUGUUUGGGAAUGCAGCUCAAAAUGGGUGGUAAAUGCCAUCUAAGGCUAAAUAUUGGGGAGAGACCGAUAGCGAACAAGUACAGUGAUGGAAAGAUGAAAAGAACUUUGAAAAGAGAGUUAAACAGUACGUGAAAUUGCCAAAAGGGAAGGGUAGGAGGUCAGAGAUGCGUCUUGGAAUUCAGCCUUGCUUCUGCUUGGUGUUUUUUCCAUUUUGCAGGCCAACGUCGGUUUUGGGCACUGGAGAAGGGUGGAAGGAACGUGGCACCUCUCGGGGUGUGUUAUAGCCUUCUACUGGAUACAGCGACCGAGACCGAGGACAGCAGCGUACUCGCAAGAGCGGGCCUUCGGGCACCUUUACGCUUAGGGC